rnacentral:rRNA from 1 species
GACGAACGCUGGCGGCGUGCUUAAUACAUGCAAGUCGAACGGAAAGGCCCUGCUCUUGUGGGGUGCUCGAGUGGCGAACGGGUGAGUAACACGUGAGUAACCUGCACUUGACUUUGGGAUAACUUCAGGAAAAUGGGGCUCAUAUCGGAUAGGAGCUCCUGCUGCAUGGUGGGGGUUGGUAAGAUUCGGUGGUUGGGGCUGGACUCGCGGCUUAUCAGCUUGUUGGUGGGGUAGUGGCUUACCAAGGCUUUGAAGGGUAGCCGGCCUGAGAGGGUGACCGGCCACAUUGGGACUGAGAUGCGGCCCAGACUCCUACGGGAGGCAGCAGUGGGGAAUAUUGCACGAUGGGCGGAAGCCUGAUGCAGCAACGCCGCGUGCGGUAUGACGGCCUUCGGGUUGUAGACCGCUUUCGCCUGUGACGAAGCGUGAGUGACGGUAAUGGGUAAAGAAGCACCGGCUAACUACGUG